AGCCCAUUACAAGCCUGCAAUGGGCUCUAUGAACUGUCCAGAGCAAAAUCAGUCUGUCCUGAUGGCACUACCUGCUACUAUGGCUGCUGCUCUCAACCUGGUGGGGCAAGUCUUAAGAGUUGCAGACGGGGGAGCAAAAGGAGUUCCUGGACCCUUAAAGGGUUAAGGCCAUAAUGGGCCACCUAGAAGAGAUUCAGGCACUCCCUCAAGAUUGCUGGGCCAUGCAAUUAAUGCCAAACUUGCAGAACUGUGAUGUCAGUACAAAAACAAAAAUGGCCAUUUUUAAAUAAAUUCAACAAAAGAAAACAGAAGAGUUGUGUGUUUCUUCCUCUUUAUAAUGAUACUAUGGUUAAUUUUAAGUAAAUACUAUAGUGAAAACAAUUGUAAAUGCAGAAAACAUGAAACCAUAGUAGAAUAUGCCCUAUAUUUGAACAAUAUAUCAGAAUAUAUGUGAGAAAUAUAAGUCUGAAAUAUAUAGGUCAUGUGAUCACAACUUUCAUCAAGGGUCACGUGAUCAUUCUUCUUAGUGCAAUAUAUUUAAAUAUAUUUAAUUAUAUGCAGAAAAUAUAAGAA